rnacentral:rRNA from 1 species
UGGGGAAUUUUGGACAAUGGGCGAAAGCCUGAUCCAGCCAUGCCGCGUGAGUGAAGAAGGCCUUCGGGUUGUAAAGCUCUUUUAGUCGGAAAGAAAGAGUCGCAAUGAAUAAUUGUGAUUUAUGACGGUACCGACAGAAAAAGCACCGGCUAACUACGUGCCAGCAGCCGCGGUAAUACGUAGGGUGCGAGCGUUAAUCGGAAAUUACCUGGGCUAAAGGGGUNACGGCAGGGCGGUUUUGUCAAGUCAGAUGUGAAAGCCCCGGGGCUUAACCUGGGAAUUGCGUUUGAAACUACAAGGCUAGAGUGCAGCAGAGGGGAGUGGAAUUCCAUGUGUAGCAGUGAAAUGCGUAGAGAUGUGGAAGAACACCGAUGGCGAAGGCAGCUCCCUGGGUUGACACUG